GACAGAGGGUGCAAACGUUGUUCGGAAUUACUGGGCGUAAAGCGAGUGUAGGCGGUUUGGUAAGUCGGAUGUGAAAGCCCUGGGCUCAACCCAGGAAGUGCAUUCGAUACUGUCAAGCUAGAGUAUCGGAGAGGUUGGUGGAAUUCUCGGUGUAGAGGUGAAAUUCGUAGAUAUCGGGAGGAACACCGGUGGCGAAGGCGGCGACCUGGGUAGAGACUGACGCUGAGGCGCGAAAGCGUGGGGAGCAAACAGG
rnacentral:rRNA from 1 species